rnacentral:rRNA from 1 species
CCUACGGGAGGCAGCAGUGAGGAAUAUUGGUCAAUGGCCGGAAGGCUGAACCAGCCAAGCCGCGUGAAGGACGAAGGUGCCAAGCAUUGUAAACUUCUUUUGUCAAGGGACAAAAUCAGGCUCGAGAGCCUGACCGAGGGUACUUGAAGAAAAAGCAUCGGCUAACUCCGUGCCAGCAGCCGCGGUAAUACGGAGGAUGCGAGCGUUAUCCGGAUUUAUUGGGUUUAAAGGGUGCGUAGGCGGACUGUUAAGUCAGCGGUGAAAUCCCGAGGCUCAACUUCGGAAUUGCCUCUGAUACUGUUCGGCUGGAGUACAGGAGGGGCAGGCGGAAUUCCUAGUGUAGCGGUGAAAUGCGUAGAUAUUAGGAGGAACACCGGUGGCGAAGGCGGCCUGCUGGACUGUGACUGACGUUGAGGCCCGAAGGCGUGGGGAGCAAACAGGAUUAGAUACCCCAGUAGUC